UACGGAGGGCUCAAGCGUUGUUCGGAUUCAUUGGGCGUAAAGGGCGUGUAGGUGGUUCCGUAAGUCGGGUGUGAAAUUUCGGAGCUUAACUCCGAAACUGCAUUCGAUACUGCGGUGCUUGAGGACUGGAGAGGAGACUGGAAUUCAUGGUGUAGCGGUGAAAUGCGUAGAUAUCAGGAGGAACACCAGCGGUGUAGACGGCUUUCUAGACCAUUGCUGACGCUGAGACACGAAAGCGUGGGGAGCAAACAGG
rnacentral:rRNA from 1 species